GUCCUGCUUGAUCUUUAGUCAUGUAUUGAUCUACAUUAGUGAAGAUAGAUGUGAUAGGUAAACAUAUGAAAGAUGAUCAUACUUUAUUAAUUUUUGUUUUGGAAUUUUCAUGUUUUACAUGACAUCAUUAGAUUUUAUGCAAGGAUUUGAAAGAUAUAUUACUUGUAUAUGAAACCAUAAUUAAGAAGGAACUUAAUCUAGGUUGCAAAUUUUAAUUAUGAACAAAACUUAAAAAACAUGGAUUACAUGAAUUAUAAGCACUUAAAAAGAAAAAUUGCAAAUUGAAUUGAAUUGAAAGCAAAAAUAGAAAUCUAAAAAGGCUUGAAUUGAAUUAAAAAUAAAAUAGAACUUAAAUGACUUGAAAACUUAAAUUGAACUUGAAUUAAACUGAAAACAAAUUAAAAAAACCAUUAAAAACAUGAAAACUAAAAAAACUUAAGGGAAGAAAGCUAAAGAAUACAAGAGAUUGGGUUGUCACCCCAACCAAAAAUGAAUUUAAAGAAAACUUCAAGAAACUUAAAAGAACUAAUGAAAAAAAAAAUUAAAAAAAAAAACCCUAAGACUAAGGAUUAGUCUAUCACCUUUAAAGUCCAUGCUCUUCUUAAUGCCUAAAGCUAACUAUUUAUUCACAAAGAAACCCUAAAAGGUGCUGCAAACUUGAACUCUUAAGUUGGCAAACUUCUUGGUUGAAUCUUACUUGAAUUCUUGAAUGGGAGAACACUUCUCGAUAUUGUUCUUGUUAAGUUGAAGUGAAUCUCUUCAAAAGAAAACACCUUAGCCAAAUCUUGACUUCUAGUAAGUGGAUGGCUGCUGAGUUGUCUUUUCUUAAGCUUUCUUGAUGAAUUGAACUUCUUAAAUUAAAAUGAGGAGGUGUGACUAGCUUCUUAAAUUUAGAAAAGACUUGUUCUCUUUUAAACUCUUUGAAACAAUUCUCAAAGUCUUAACUUCUAGUUGCUUGCAACAUUAGUUUGGCAAGAAUCUUGUAUAGUUUUAAGUCUUUUUAGCAACUUAAAAAUCUUGAAAAUUUUAGCUGCUUAACUCUUCUUAAUGGUUUCUUAAACUUUAAAUUUCUUAAAAUUAAAGAAUAGUAUGCAGCUAGAGUUCUUUAAGAGAAAAGAAAAGUUGCUAAGUUAUUUUGAAACUCUACGCAACCUUCUAAAAUAUGAUCUUCAAGUAGGAAUAGGUUUUGUUCCUUAUUGAAAACUUCUUAAGGUUAUGCUUCAAGUAAAAUCUUCUUGGAGAAAAAAAAAUUAAAUUCUAAUUUUAAUAUUUUUAAUAGUCACCCUUUACCUUGAAUCCUUCUAAAUUGCAUGCAAAUCCUACCCUAGGUAGAAAUACCUAAUCAAAAUAGGACUUUCUAAUUUAACAUGGAAUACUAAAUCAACUAGGAAAACAAAAGG
rnacentral:lncRNA from 1 species